UCUCCGUAGGUGAACCAGCGGAGGGAUCAUUAAAUGACUCGCAAGAAUCCUACAACCCUGUGAACUUAACUAUAAGCACGUUGCUUCGGCGUGUGUCUCGCAGUUCGCUUUCCCUCCUCUGGACGCUAAACUAGCCGGCAGCCUACUAUUCUCUGUCUUUUUGCGUUGUCCUCUCGAAUACAAUUAAACAAGUUAAAACUUUCAACAACGGAUCUCUUGGUUCUG
rnacentral:misc_RNA from 1 species